AGAGCGAACGCUGGCGGCAGGCCUAACACAUGCAAGUCGAGCGCGUGUAGCAAUACACGAGCGGCAGACGGGAGAGUAACACGUGGGAACGCGCCCUUCGGUUCGGAAUAACUCAGGGAAACUUGAGCUAAUACCGGAUACGCCCUUACGGGGGAAAGAUUUAUUGCCGAAGGAACGGCCCGCGUCCGAUUAGCUAGUUGGUGAGGUAACGGCUCACCAAGGCGACGAUCGGUAGCUGGUCUGAGAGGAUGACCAGCCUCACUGGGACUGAGACACGGCCCAGACUCCUACGGGAGGCAGCAGUGGGGAAUAUUGGGCAAUGGGCGCAAGCCUGAUCCAGCCAUGCCGCGUGGAUGAUGAAGGCCUUAGGGUUGUAAAGUCCUUUUAACGGGGAAGAUAAUGACGGUACCCGUAGAAUAAGCCCCGGCUAACUUCGCGCCAGCAGCCGC
rnacentral:rRNA from 1 species